rnacentral:rRNA from 1 species
AUUGAACGCUGGCGGCAUGCUUUACACAUGCCAGUCGAACGGCAGCGCGGGCUUCGGCCUGGCGGCGAGUGGCGAACGGGUGAGUAAUGCAUCGGAACGUGCCCAGUAGUGGGGGAUAGCCCGGCGAAAGCCGGAUUAAUACCGCAUACGACCUGAGGGUGAAAGCGGGGGACCGAAAGGCCUCGCGCUAUUGGAGCUGCCGAUGUCGGAUUAGCUAGUUGGUGGGGUAAAGGCUUACCAAGGCGACGAUCCGUAGCUGGUCUGAGAGGACGACCAGCCACACUGGAACUGAGACACGGCCCAGACUCCUACGGGAGGCAGCAGUGGGGAAUUUUGGACAAUGGGGGCAACCCUGAUCCAGCCAAGCCGCGUGAGGGAAGAAGGCCUUCGGGUUGUAAACCGCUUUUGUUCGGGAAGAAAUCCUCUGGGCUAAUACACCGGGGGGAUGACGGUACCGGAAGAAUAAGCACCGGCUAACUACGUG